rnacentral:lncRNA from 1 species
UCUGUGAGAGGAGCCAAGAAAAGUAAAGGAUGCUGUAACCCACCUUUAUCUUUAGAUCCAUAAUGCCCUAUUAUCUCUCAUCUUUAUUAAAGGACAGCUUUCGCUUAGAAAGUACGUGGUCUUUUCAGGAACUAUCAGCUAAAACAUCGCACAGAAAACAAGAUCAAAGAGGGGUCUUUUAGUGACAAGAUUAAAGUAGAACAGGACUCUCUCUUGGCCCUUUGAGCCUGGCUCACCCAAGGCUGCCACAGUUUAGGCCCAUGGUCUGCCAUUCUGGAAUACUGCAGCUGUGUUGCUGUUAUUUCUGGUGUGAAAAGAGCUGCAGCAAAAGCACCGCUGCCUCCUCAGGGACCCAGAUGUGGAGAUAAUGGGCCAGCUGUGCAGAGUUAUGUCAUCACCACUUGGCAAAGCUUCCCAAAGCAAAAGCACAAGACUGUGUCACUGGGCAGGGAACAGAGCAGGGAUCUUCUCUUUUAAGAUGUAGCAAGUUGGCUAUAGUAGUAUGUACCAUGAGUAGUUCCAAAUCUCCCAAUUCUCUUAUAGAUAUGAUGUAACUCAGUCCCAGCCCAAGGGAAAUGGUGACCAUAAAUAAACAACGAUCAAUUAUUAAUAGAAUGUUUUGACAACUCCCACAUAGUAGCAGUUUACCUGCUGCAAGUAUGGUUUUGCUUUGGAUAUUCAGAUUAUCUAUUUAAUGCACAUUAAACAUAAGGUUGGCCCCUAGUAUUCACACAAAAAUACCCACAACCAAGAGCUGUGGCAAACACAGAUGCCAUGCCCACAGCUUCAGGAGAGCACAAGGAAGCUUCUAGGGCAAAUUCCUAGUAGGACGUUCAGAG